GAUGAACGCUAGCGGCAGGCUUAACACAUGCAAGUCGAGGGGCAGCGCGGGAUAGCAAUAUCCUGGCGGCGACCGGCGGAAGGGUGCGUAACGCGUGAGCGACAUGCCCGUUGCCCGGGGACAACCGGUGGAAACGCCGACUAAUCCCCGAUGGGAUAUUGUGCCGCAUGGCACGAUAUUGAAAGUUACGGCGGCGACGGAUUGGCUCGCGUCCGAUUAGCUUGUUGGCGGGGUAACGGCCCACCAAGGCUGCGAUCGGUAGGGGUUCUGAGAGGAAGGCCCCCCACAAUGGGACUGAGACACGGCCCAUACUCCUACGGGAGGCAGCAGUGAGGAAUAUUGGUCAAUGGGCGGAAGCCUGAACCAGCCAUGUCGCGUGCGGGAAGGAGGCCCUAUGGGCUGUGAACCGCUUUUGCCUGGGGGCAAUAAGGGCGUCGCGCACGUCCGAUGAGAGUACCAGGCGAAUAAGCAUCGGCUAACUCCGUG
rnacentral:rRNA from 1 species